ensembl:lncRNA
GCCCUGACGGAUGAAGGAGUUCCUAGGAUGCCCUUCACAGUCACCAGAAGUGACCGGCCCAGGAAGGUGUCCUGCAGAAACUUUGGGGCAAAAGAUGGACUCUCCAAAAACAAAUCCCAAAGCCCGGAGAAACAGCAUUGUGACUGGGAAGGAACAAGCGUGAUCUAGAGUGGACUCCUUUCUUAAUCCUGGUAUAUUGUUCCAUUGGGUGCACAGCUUGUGAAGAUUCAUUGAGGUAUAUACACUGAUAAUGGGGGAUUUAUUUCUUGUAUUUUAAAAGCUUCAAGAUUUGUUUAAAAAAAAAAAAAGACCUUGAGCCAAGUGCAGUGACUCAAGUACAUCUAUAAUCUAUCACAUAGGAAAGAGAAAGCAACUCAAGUUCAAAGCCAGACCUCUUAAAAAUAUUAAAAUGCCUUCAUAGAUCUUUGGGGUGAAACCUUCAUUCCUACCAGACCACUGAGCCCUUGGAGACCUAUAGACUUGGAUUUUUCACCAAACCUACUGUAUUUAGGGUUCUUAAACGGUUAAACCUCCUCUCCACCCACUAACCAGAGGCAGGGGAGAAAGAUUAUUAGGUAAAGGGGGUUGUAGACCUU